rnacentral:ncRNA from 1 species
AAAGUUUUAUUUUGACUUGAAUUUUUGAUUUAUUUUUAUUUUAUAUGUAAAUUUUUAUUUAAAAAUUAAAAUUGCAGUAUUUAGUUUUAAAAAAUUAUUUUUAUAAGUUUUAGUAAUUAAUUAUAGAUUUAAUAAAAUUUGUGCCAGCAAUUGCGGUUAUACAAAUAAUUCGAUUUAAAUUUAUUGGUUAGUAAUUUAUUGAUAAUUAAAAAUUUAUUAUUAAAAUUUUUGGGUGAAAUUAAAAUUUUAAUAUAGUUUUUAUUUUUGUAAUUGAAGUUAUUAAAAUUAUUAUUAAACUAGGAUUAGAUACCCUAUUAUUUAAAUUGUAAAAUUUUAUACCAGAUUAGUAUUAGUUAUUUUCUUUAAAAUUAUAAAAUUUGGCAGUAUUUUAGUCUAUUUAGAGGAACCUGUUCUAUAAUUGAUGAUACACGAUUUGAUUUUCUUUUUUUAUGUUUGUAUAUCGUUGUUUUUGAGAAUUUUAUAAGAAUUAAAAUUUACAUUAAGUAUAAUUAUAAGAAAUUUCAGAUCAAGGUGCAGCUUGUAGAAAAGAAGAAAUGGGUUACAAUAAGUUUAUUUUUGGUAUUAAUUCUUAGAAAAGUUAAUUAAAUUGGAUUUAAUAGUAAAGUUUUAUAAAUUUGAGACUUGAUUAAGCUCUAAAAUGUGUACAUAUUGCCCGUCGCUCUCGAAAUUUUGAGAUAAGUCGUAACAAAGUAGAUUUACUGGAAAGUGAAUCUAGAAUU